rnacentral:rRNA from 1 species
AGGGUUCGAUUCUGGCUCAGGAUGAACGCUAGCUACAGGCUUAACACAUGCAAGUCGAGGGGCAGCAUGAUCUUAGCUUGCUAAGAUUGAUGGCGACCGGCGCACGGGUGAGUAACGCGUAUCCAACCUUCCCCUUAGUAGGGCAUAGCCCGGUGAAAAUCGGAUUAAUACCCUAUGUUUUUCCAAUGAGGACAUCUGAGCUGGAACAAAGAUUGAUCGCUAAGGGAUGGGGAUGCGUCCGAUUAGGUAGUCGGCGGGGUAACGGCCCACCGAGCCAUCGAUCGGUAGGGGUUCUGAGAGGAAGGUCCCCCACACUGGUACUGAGACACGGACCAGACUCCUACGGGAGGCAGCAGUGAGGAAUAUUGGUCAAUGGACGUAAGUCUGAACCAGCCAAGUAAGCGUGCAGGAUGACGGCCCUAUGGGUUGUAAACUGCUUUUAUCGGGGGAUAAAGUGAGGGACGUGUCCCUUAUCGUAGGUACCCGAUGAAUAAGGACCGGCUAAUUCCGUGCCAGCCGCGGC